GAUUCGUUAGUCAAGUGGUCUAAGACACUGUCCUUUCACGGCAGUAACAGGAGUCCGAAUCUCCUACGAAUCA
rnacentral:tRNA from 1 species